GAUGAACGCUGGCGGCGUGCCUAAUACAUGCAAGUCGAGCGAACAGACGAGGAGCUUGCUCCUCUGACGUUAGCGGCGGACGGGUGAGUAACACGUGGAUAACCUACCUAUAAGACUGGGAUAACUUCGGGAAACCGGAGCUAAUACCGGAUAAUAUAUUGAACCGCAUGGUUCAAUAGUGAAAGACGGUCUUGCUGUCACUUAUAGAUGGAUCCGCGCCGCAUUAGCUAGUUGGUAAGGUAACGGCUUACCAAGGCGACGAUGCGUAGCCGACCUGAGAGGGUGAUCGGCCACACUGGAACUGAGACACGGUCCAGACUCCUACGGGAGGCAGCAGUAGGGAAUCUUCCGCAAUGGGCGAAAGCCUGACGGAGCAACGCCGCGUGAGUGAUGAAGGUCUUCGGAUCGUAAAACUCUGUUAUUAGGGAAGAACAAAUGUGUAAGUAACUAUGCACGUCUUGACGGUACCUAAUCAGAAAGCCACGGCUAACUACGUG
rnacentral:rRNA from 1 species